rnacentral:rRNA from 1 species
UUUCGCAAUGCCCGAAAGGGUGACGAAGCGACGCCGCGUGUGGGAAGAAGGCCUUCGGGUUGUAAACCACUGUCGGGAGUUAAGAAAUGUAAGGGUGUUAAUAGCAUUCUUACUUGACGUUAGCUCCGGAGGAAGCCACGGCUAACUCUGUGCCAGCAGCCGCGGUAAUACAGAGGUGGCAAGCGUUGUCCGGAAUUAUUGGGCGUAAAGAGCACGUAGGCGGCCCUGCAAGUCAGCUGUGAAAUCCUUCUGCUCAACGGAAGAACGGCAGUUGAUACUACAGGGCUCGAGUGCGGGAGGGGAGAGUGGAACUUCUGGUGGAGCGGUGAAAUGCGUAGAUAUCAGAAGGAACAUCGGCGGCGAAAGCGACUCUCUGGCCCGUAACUGACGCUGAGGUGCGAAAGCUAGGGGAGCAAACGGGAUUAGAUACCCCGGUAGUCCUAGCCGUAAACGAUGGGCACUAAGUAGAGGGGUUUU